UUCUUCUUCUUUUUCUUCUUCUUCUUUUUCUUUUCAUCUUCAUCAGAGGAGGAGGAUGAAGAGGAUGAAGAGGAAGAAGA